GUGCAAUGGUAAAUAUAAAAGCAUUCUGAUCACGACUUAAAUGUAUUUUUUCCCGCUCACUCCAAUAAUACCAAUUAGACCACGAGGAUGUGUUGGCCUAUUUGUUUCAGUAUAGACUAUAGCAUUUACUGAGAACUUGGAAACACAGAACAAAAAUAAACAGAAAUAUUAAAUUUUGAUAACUUAUUCCCCAGGAAGGACGCGCCAGGUCACGCGAUUAAAAUAUGCCACAAUGUUAGAAGUGACAAGUUUCAACUUUCAGCUGGUAAUCCAUGGUUUUGAAUAUCUGCAAACUUUUACGAAAGAAAAUAAAGAAAAAUACUACCUAUCUAUUACUAGGUUUAUACUAAAUACUUUUAAAUCUAUAGGUAUGUUUUUAUUAGGUAUGAUAUUACUCAUGCAGGCAAGUUCGUUAAUAUGGCGGCCAUCGGAAAGAACGUUACUUAUCGAUAUCGUUGAUUAACAGUCGAGACACUCGUAUCCGACAGAGUAAUCUAAAUAUUCAUCUGAAAACAGAUAUAUCCUUUUCAGAAGUGUCAAACUGCAUUAUUUUUGACAUUUUUAGUCCCACGAAUAGCAUAUAUUCGGGUCAACAACACAACUCGAAGUUUUAAAAUCUUUACGUUUCAGACUACAAACUGAGGUAAUUAUAUUCUCCCAACAAAUGGAGAUCCGUAUGAAUGUUUGCCUGUUGCUGAUUAUUUUUGUGGCAUUUUCUGCGGUUAAUGGCCGUAGUGAUUCUGCAAGUGAAUCAACAAGUGAAUCUGCAGAAGAAUUCCGCUGUGGGUCUAACGGUUUUUGCGGAUUUGAACCUGUGGUGUGUCCUUCUUGGGCAGAGAGAUGUCCAGGUGAUUGUCCAUUGCCAUAUCUUUGCUGUUGCCCAUAAUUCUCACUUCGAAAAUAAAGCUGGUCUAUAACAAAGCGGUUAUAAAAUGUAACCUGUCAAGUUUACUAUGAUUAAUUACAUAAAGGCGUAGACAAAAAAAUCCAGUGUGCAAUUGCAUUUAUUGUAUCAUAAUUGCAUGGGUGUACAUAUAUCAUUGUGUGAAAUAUAACCUCCACAUUUUUCCACGCUUGAUAUCGCUAUUUUUCAACGGUUUUUCAUUGAGUUGGAACCUACAACCUGGCGGUUCACAUUGUCUAGUGCAUGAAAAUAAAAAUAAAAAUAUACAGAUAUGCAAAGCUAUAAACGAGUGCCAUAAAACAGGAGUAAUUUAUAUAUAUCUAAAAAUAUUUGUUGACAUAAUAACGAUAAAGAAAUUUAUCUCGUGCUAAAAACUAAGCGAAUUGGUAAGGUCUCGGGUAAGGUUAUACCGAGCUUGAGAUUGAGAAUGGGGUAGUGUGGCA